rnacentral:rRNA from 1 species
UACGUAGGGUGCGAGCGUUAAUCGGAAUUACUGGGCGUAAAGCGUGCGUAGACGGUAGCGUAAGUCAGAUGUGAAAUCCCCGGGCUCAACCUGGGAACUGCAUUUGUGACUGUAGAGCUGGAGUGCGGCAGAGGGGGAUGGAAUUCCGCGUGUAGCAGUGAAAUGCGUAGAUAUGCGGAGGAACACCGAUGGCGAAGGCAAUCCCCUGGGCCUGCACUGACGCUCAUGCACGAAAGCGUGGGGAGCAAACAGG